AACGAACGCUGGCGGCAGGCUUAACACAUGCAAGUCGAACGAUGUAGCAAUACAUAGUGGCGCACGGGUGAGUAACGCGUGGGAAUAUACCUUAUAGUGGGGAAUAACUUCGGGAAACUGAAGCUAAUACCGCAUACGCCCGAGAGGGGAAAGAUUUAUCGCUAUAAGAUUAGCCCGCGUGAGAUUAGGUAGUUGGUGGGGUAAUGGCCUACCAAGCCUACGAUCUCGAGCUGGUCUGAGAGGAUGAUCAGCCACACUGGAACUGAGACACGGUCCAGACUCCUACGGGAGGCAGCAGUGGGGAAUAUUGGACAAUGGGCGAAAGCCUGAUCCAGCCAUGCCGCGUGAAUGAUGAAGGCCUUAGGGUUGUAAAGUUCUUUCGCCGAUGAAGAUAAUGACGGUAGUCGGAGAAGAAGCCCCGGCUAACUUCGUGCCAGCCGCCGCAGUAA
rnacentral:rRNA from 1 species